rnacentral:sRNA from 1 species
AUUAAAAAAUUUGAAUGAAAGCCAUAUAUAUGUCUAAGUUAGUAAUAGAGAGAAAUCAAACAAACAUUAGGAUACUUGACUUGAAAAGUACUUUUAAAAUAAGUACAUGUACCGGUAAUUAAUGUACAUGUAUUCAGUCAAAUAAUUAAUAUGGUUUUACUAUUUAAUUGUUUUUUGCAUCCAUAAUUAUUACAAAAGUCAUAAACCUGCACAUCAUUAUUAUGAUUAAUGAGGAUGAUAUGAGGAACAAAGAACCAAACAUUUAUUGACUUAGAUGAUUUGAUUUCAGACACCAUACAUGAAUUUAUUUUAAGCUAAUUUAAAUGAAGACUUCAUGGAAACUAAGGCUUGAUAAGUAUUGUUAUGACACUGUAUGAUAU